CAAAAUAUUCGCUUCUGGUGGUAGUCGUGACGUGUUUUGAUAAAAAAGAAGGCCGGAUUGCAUCGCUUAUGGGUGUACUAAUAGUUCUGAUUGUUGUCUAAAGUUUAAACAAAUCACAUUUCAUUCGUUUCCUAUCAAUCCAAUUGCGAAGAGCUCUCUUGGUGAACGCUUUGAGAAGGAAAUAUUGGAAACCAACCAAGUACGGUAAAAUAUGUUCGCAGCAUUUCAGGGAGAAAGAUAUUGAUCGAACAUCAGUUUCGUCAGUCCCCAUGAGGGAAGAUGCUGUACCAUCAAUUUUUCCUACUUAUCCUGUUCACUUGCAAAAGGUUUCGGAAGAGCUACCUCAACAUGCAGCAGCUGAAACAGAGGAACCUGCAGAGAAAGGUGAAGACGACAACACACCACCUCCACAACAACGGGCCAAGAGGGGGAGGGGGGGUGUAAGAAGCGACCCCAUACUUAAUGCAGCAGAAAUGUUGCAUAAUAUUAUGGAGCAGCAACAUCAACGCCGACAGCAACAGGACUCGGCAACAGAUUUCGGAAAAUUUGUUGAAAGCGCUUCCGCCCUAUGAAAGGGCGGUGGCUACAAAACUAUAAGUGAUGUGCUGUAUGAGGACAGCAUAUCUGAUUUGGAUUCUGAAGAA